UAUCCCUCCAACCUUACCGCUAGCGGCUAUGCCCAUCAUAAUCCCUGACUUCAACUACAGAAUCUGGAACAGACACGGAGCGUUCUCCCUAUCCCAACUACUGCACAACUCCCACUUCAAAAAUUCCCAGACCUACGAACAGAGUUCAACCUACCCACUCUAGCUCAAUUCUCCUACACCCAGCUCCAAUCCUGGAUCACACAGACAAAAAGGGAGACGAACCAUAUAAAACCAAAUACACCCCUAACGGGUGUGGAGAAGAUAUGCCUACGGCACAAACCACCAAACAAACUCAUCUCCAUAAUCUACACCUCCAAGCACACUACACAUAACAUCAAAUCUCUUCCAUUCACGAGAGCAUGGGAAAAGGAACUUACAUACAAAUUAACCGACUCCCAAUGGAGGAAAAUACUCCAGGCCCCAAAACAAAUGACCCUCUGUGCAUCACUUAUCAAACUUCCGCGCAAAAUACUACAGGGAGUGCAGAAUUAUUAGGCAAAUUAGUAUUUUGACCACAUCAUCCUCUU